rnacentral:rRNA from 1 species
UACGAAGGGUGCAAGCGUUACUCGGAAUUACUGGGCGUAAAGCGUGCGUAGGUGGUUUGUUAAGUCUGUUGUGAAAGCCCCGGGCUCAACCUGGGAAUGGCAAUGGAUACUGGCAAGCUAGAGUGCGGUAGAGGGUAGUGGAAUUCCCGGUGUAGCGGUGAAAUGCGUAGAGAUCAGGAAGAACACCCGUGGCUAAGGCGGCUCUCUAGUACGGUACUGACGCUGAGACGCGAAAGCGUGGGGAGCGAACAGG